AGCAGCCGCGGUAAUUCCAGCUCCAAUAGCGUAUAUUAAAGUUGUUGCAGUUAAAAGCUCGUAGUUGAAUUUCGGGAUCAGUACGCCGGUCGUGCCUUCGGUAUGCACUGGUGUCACUGGUUUCUCCCUUCUGAAGAACCAUCAUGCCAUUAAGUUGGUGUGGCGGGAAAUCAGGACUGUUACUUUGAAAAAUUAGAGUGUUUAAAGCAGGCUCGCGCUUGAAUACAUUAGCAUGGAAUAAUGAAAUAGGACGUUUGACCCUAUUUUGUUGGUUUCUAGGAUCGACGUAAUGAUUAAUAGGGAUAGUUGGGGGCAUUAGUAUUCAAUUGUCAGAGGUGAAAUUCUUGGAUUUAUUGAAGACUAACUACUGCGAAAGCAUUUGCCAAGGAUGUUUUCGUUAAUCAAGAACGAAAGUUAGGGAUCGAAGACGAUCAGAUACCGUCGUAGUCUUAACCAUAAACUAUGCCGACUAGGGAUCGGAUGAUGUUAAUUUUUAAUGACUCAUUCGGCGCCUUAAC
rnacentral:misc_RNA from 1 species